rnacentral:rRNA from 1 species
GGGGAAUAACACAUCGAAAGAUGUGCUAAUACCGCAUGAAAUGUCUGAAUCGCAUGGUUCUGGACAUCAAAGAUUUAUCGCUCUGAGAUGGACUCGCGUCUGAUUAGCUGGUUGGCGGGGUAACGGCCCACCAAGGCGACGAUCAGUAGCCGGACUGAGAGGUUGGCCGGCCACAUUGGGACUGAGAUACGGCCCAGACUCCUACGGGAGGCAGCAGUGGGGAAUAUUGGGCAAUGGGCGCAAGCCUGACCCAGCAACGCCGCGUGAAGGAAGAAGGCCCUCGGGUUGUAAUCUUCUUUUCUAUAGGGCGAAGAAGUGACGGUACUAUAGGAAUAAGCCACGGCUAACUACGUGCCAGCAGCCGCGGUAAUACGUAGGUGGCGAGCGUUAUCCGGAUUUACUGGGUGUAAAGGGCGUGUAGGCGGGAGAGCAAGUCAGAUGUGAAAACUACAGGCUUAACCUGUAGCCUGCAUUUGAAACUGUUCUUCUUGAGUGAUGGAGAGGCAGGCGGAAUUCCUAGUGUAGCGGUGAAAUGCGUAGAUAUUAGGAGGAACACCAGUGGCGAAGGCGGCCUGCUGGACAUUAACUGACGCUGAGGCGCGAAAGCGUGGGGAGCAAACAGGAUUAGAUACCCUGGUAGUCCACGCCGUANACGAUGGAUACUAGGUGUGGGGGGUCUGACCCCCUCCGUGCCGCAGUAAACACAAUAAGUAUCCCACCUGGGGAGUACGAUCGCAAGGUUGAAACUCA